CUCCAGACUCCUACGGGAGGCAGCAGUGGGGAAUAUUGCACAAUGGGGGAAACCCUGAUGCAGCGACGCCGCGUGAGCGAUGAAGUAUUUCGGUAUGUAAAGCUCUAUCAGUAGGGAAGAAAAUGACGGUACCUGACUAAGAAGCCCCGGCUAACUACGUGCCAGCAGCCGCGGUAAUACGUAGGGGGCAAGCGUUAUCCGGAUUUACUGGGUGUAAAGGGAGCGUAGACGGCGGUGCAAGCCAGAUGUGAAAGCCCGGGGCUCAACCCCGGGACUGCAUUUGGAACUGUGCUGCUAGAGUGUCGGAGAGGCAGGCGGAAUUCCUAGUGUAGCGGUGAAAUGCGUAGAUAUUAGGAGGAACACCAGUGGCGAAGGCGGCUUGCUGGACAGAGACUGACGUUGAGGCUCGAAAGCGUGGGGAGCAAACAGGAUUAGAUACCCCCGUAGUU
rnacentral:rRNA from 1 species